GGGGCCAUAGCUCAGCUGGGAGAGCGCCUGCUUUGCAGGCAGGAGGUCAGGAGUUCGAUCCUCCUUGGCUCCACCA
rnacentral:tRNA from 1 species